rnacentral:rRNA from 1 species
GAAUUGACGGGGGCCCGCACAAGCAGUGGAGUAUGUGGUUUAAUUCGACGCAACGCGAAGAACCUUACCAGGGCUUGACAUCGUGCGCAUAGUGCAGAGAUGCAUGAAGUCUUCGGACGCACAGACAGGUGGUGCAUGGUUGUCGUCAGCUCGUGUCGUGAGAUGUUGGGUUAAGUCCCGCAACGAGCGCAACCCUUAUCGUUAGUUGCCAGCACGUAAUGGUGGGCACUCUAGCGAGACUGCCGGCGACAAGUCGGAGGAAGGUGGGGAUGACGUCAAAUCAUCAUGCCCCUUAUGUCCUGGGCUACACACGUACUACAAUGGCUGCCAACAAAGGGAAGCGAGACCGCGAGGUGGAGCAAAUCCCCAAAAGCAGUCCCAGUUCGGAUUGCAGGCUGAAACCCGCCUGCAUGAAGUCGGAAUUGCUAGUAAUCGCAGAUCAGCAUGCUGCGGUGAAUACGUUCCCGGGCCUUGUACACACCG